UUUAGUGUCAGUUUAUAAAAUUCACAUGUGAAUAUAAAAUACAUUGUAAAAAUAUAAAAAAAUAUAUUUUAAGCUCUAACAAUAUCUGAAGUAUUUCUAUUCAAAGUUUAAUUUCUUCAACCUUCAAACAAUCAAUAUGUGUUGCGGACCGUGUGGACCUUGCGGAGGCUGCUGCGGUGGCUGCUGCUGCCCAAACAUCACCAUCUACACGUGCUGCACCAAGAUCUGUUAACUCCAACAACCGAGUAUCUCUAAAACAUCAUGGCUGAUUACUUUACUCGGUCCAAUUCCUAGUCUUUGUGAUUGUUUUGUCAAUAAAAGAUAAAAUUCAAAAA